GGGGUUGCGUGCGUGCCGGGGAAGGGAGCCCCGGGAGCGACUGCUGAGGGACACCGCGGCGAGCGAGCAUGGGUGGAGGAGCUGAGGGUGUGAGCAGGGCUGCAGCGGGCAGGUCCAAGGCAGGAACCCUUGUGAAGGCAACCAAUCGUGGACCUCACUCUCCUGCAAGUCCCAGAGCAGGCUGGACAAAUGUGGGACUUCCUAGGAGUUUACAGAUGGAGGGACAGAAGCCAAGGAGAGGCCACAGAGCUGGCUUUGCCCCCACCAUCCCUUGCCUGGACCCCCUUCCACCCGAGCAGCUUGGCCCAGGGCAACCCUUGCCCUCCCAGACUGCACACAUCCUGUUUUAAGGAUGCACAGCUUAAAACACGGUCGUGUGAGGUGAAUGUGAUAACCACUGCACUCCGGAAACCCUGCCCACAUUAACAAAAGAAAAGUCAAAAACCAUAUGAUCAUCUCAAUAGAUGCAGAAAAAGCAUUUGACAAAGCGCAACAUCCAGUCAUGUUCAAAACUCUCGCCAAAGUGGGUAUAGAGGGAACAUUCCUGAACAUAAGCAAAGCCAUUUAUGACAAACCCACAGCAAAUAUAAUACUCAAUGGAGAAAAACUGAAAGCCUUCUCACUCAUCUGGAACAAGAGAGGGAUGCCCACUCUCACUACUGCUCUUUAACAGAGUUUUGGAAGUCCUAGCCACAGCAUUAGACAAACAAAAGACAUAAAAGCCAUCCAAAGAGGAAAAGAAGAGAGAAAAGUGUAUGCAGACGACGUGAUACUACACAUAGAAAACCCUAAGGACUCAACCCAAAAACUACUUGAACUGAUUAAUAAAUUCAGCAAAGUAGCAGGAUAUAAGAUUAACAUUCAGAAAUCAGUUGCAUUUCUGUAUACCAACAAUGAAAUAUUAGAAAAGGAAUACAAAAGUACAAUACCUUUUAAAAUUGCACCUCAAAAAAUCAAAUACCUCGGAAUACACCUGACCAAGGAGGUAAAGGACUAAUAUGCCGAGAACUAUAAAACUUUAAUCAAACAAAUUAAAGAAGAUGUAAAGAAAUGGAGGGAUAUUCUAUGUUCAUGUAUUGGAAAAUCCAAUAUUGUAAAAAUGGCCGUACUUCCCAAAGCAAUCUACAGAUUCAAUGCAAUCCCUAUCAAAUGACCCAUGACAUUUUUCACAGAACUAGAACCAACAAUCCAAAAAUUUACGUGGAACCACAAAAGAAAGUCUAUUCAGCAAGCAUUGCUGGGAAACCAGGACAGCUGCAUGCAAAUCAGUGAAAUUAGAACACACCCUCACACCAUGUACAAAAAUAAACUCAAAAUGGCUGAAAGACUUAAAU
rnacentral:lncRNA from 1 species